GUUGGGGCAUCAGUGGUAGUUAUCAUCGAGGCAAUUGGGGCGUCAGUGGUAGUUAUCAGCAUAACAAUGGCAGAUCGAGUGUGGGCAUCAGUGGUAGUUAUCAGCGUAACAAUGGCAGAUCGAUUGUGGGCAUCAGUGGCGGAUUGGGGAGGAACAAUGGCCGACCGAAUUAUCGAAAGAAAUUUGACCCACAGGUGAACUACUUAGGAGGAAGUAAAGGUCCACGUCAGAACGGCCUACCUUACAACAUUCGGAAGAAAUAAAGGUCAACGCUCCAAUGAUAUGGGGAAUGUAAAGAAGAAAGUGUCUUAAUUUGUUAAGCUUUAGUAAGAAACAUAGCACAGACUCGAUUUUGUAACAAUACUUAAUAAUUCUAAUGAUAAAGAAAUGGCAAAAGAAGCAAAGAAAGGAUUAUAAAGGAGCAAAGUUC